rnacentral:rRNA from 1 species
GACGAACGCUGGCGGCGUGCCUAAUACAUGCAAGUCGAACGCUUUUUCUUUCCCCGGAGCUUGCUCCACCGAAAGAAAAAGAGUGGCGAACGGGUGAGUAACACGUGGGUAACCUGCCCAUCAGAAGGGGAUAACACUUGGUAACAGGUGCUAAUACCGUAUAACACUAUUUUCCGCAUGGAAGAAAGUUGAAAGGCGCUUUUGCGUCACUGAUGGAUGGACCCGCGGUGCAUUAGCUAGUUGGUGAGGUAACGGCUCACCAAGGCAACGAUGCAUAGCCGACCGGAGAGGGUGAUCGGCCACACUGGGACUGAGACACGGCCCAGACUCCUACGGGAGGCAGCAGUAGGGAAUCUUCGGCAAUGGACGAAAGUCUGACCGAGCAACGCCGCGUGAGUGAAGAAGGUCUUCGGAUCGUAAAACUCUGUUGUUAGAGAAGAACAAGGAUGAGAGUAGAACGUUCAUCCCUUGACGGUAUCUAACCAGAAAGCCACGGCUAACUACGUGCCAGCCGCCGCCGUAA